UACGUAGGGGGCUAGCGUUGUCCGGAAUCAUUGGGCGUAAAGAGCGCGUAGGCGGUCCGGUAAGUCCGCUCUGAAAGUCCGGGGCUCAACCCCGGGAGGCGGGCGGAUACUGUCGGGCUAGAGUCCGGAAGAGGCGAGUGGAAUUCCUGGUGUAGCGGUGAAAUGCGCAGAUAUCGGGAGGAACACCAAUGGCGAAAGCAGGUAACUGGACUAUUACUGACACUAAACUGCGAAAGCUAGGGGAGCAAACAGG
rnacentral:rRNA from 1 species